GGUCCGACAGUGCUGCGUUCCGAGGCUGCGGGUUGGGGUCGCGGUCGGACGUGCGGAGGUCUAACUUUUCAGGCCGGGUGCUGCUGACGAGAUACCUCAUCCGGUCCUGAGGGUACAGAAUUAGCCCUCCACAUGGGAAAGGCCCUGCCAAUCCUGGCCACCAGCUUCAACACCCCAGGGCUACGAGGUCAGCAGCACGUCACUGCUAUGCAUCCUACACGUGUAUCCUCCAGUCCCUUCCAAAGGCCUGAUGCAAGAUGUUGCUAUUCCUACUCUGCUUGUGGGAUUUCUUGGAGGUCACAUUGCUGGUGCUGAUGUCAAGUGAUGUUUUCCUUGACGUGCAAGGUACGCGCAGGUUUAAUCUUUAGGCAUAGCUUUGCACUGACAAAAAUUGGGGGAUAUUUCCGCAGUUCAGGACAAGGAAUUAAUGUUUUACAGGAAACACAGCAGUUUCCACACAAGCUGCAAGAACAAAGAAAGUCUGAGUAAAUUGGGGAUAUUCCUGGAAGUGGCUUCUGGAACAAAAAAAUACUAAAAAGGGCCAGUGUGGGUGUAGGCACCGCGUCAUUCUGAUGCACAACCACCCAACCUGAAUGUCCAGCACAGCUAAACCCAUUACUACCUGUAAUGCCAUAAAUGUGAUGGGAAGCACAGCAAUGACACAGUAGUAUUAAAGUCCUAGGCAAACAUAGCAGCUAUGGAUACAGAAAUAAAGGAAAGAAUCUGCUUACCUUCAGAAAGCCACAGGUACAGAGUGAUCUCCAGCAAAGUAACUUUGCUUCCACUGUCAACCCUUAAAUGAGGUCUGGGAAGGGGUGGAUCCUGGCUCCACCUCUUCUGGUCAGUCAGGUACGUUGCAUGCACCUGAGCUCCCAUGGAUUGGCCCUGUCUUCUCACCAGGUGCUCAAUCACUGCUUCAAGCUGUGACUUAGCAUUUCUGCUACACCACUCAGGAGCACAACUCAACCCAACCAAAAUGGCCACGUCAACCCAACACGAGUGACAACCUAACCCAACACAAGCUAAAUCGUGCAACCAAAUACAACCCAAUCAAAUAUACCUCAGUGAUGCAACCCAAACCAGCCUGAGUGAUGCAGCCCAGCCCAGCUCAACCCAGCUUAACAAAAUCAUGCACAGCACAGCAUGAUCCAGGAGGACCUUUUAGAGAGGUCCAGGGGAGAAGGGUCCAUGACUGUAGCUCCCCUUGCUGCAAGGCUGUUGCAACAAAACAGCAGUAAGAGCAAAACAACUUGUACCAACCAGGACUGCACCUCUAUGCUGUGAAUGACUGAAAGGUGGCUGAGUGUUGAAGACAUGAGAGUCCAGGUGGAUUUUCUAAUAAUUUAAGUUAAUUUAAGCCUCCUUCCCCUCCUAAUUCUCCCUUUCCAUGGAUAAAGUCACCUCCAAAUGUCUGUCUCUCGCAGUGAUACUGGACAGUGUGUUUCAAGGUGAUUGAAGGACCAGCCAAAGGGGCAGAGCCCAAAUCCCCUUGGGGAAUUGCAGUCAGCGCAGAGAGCUGAUCUGCCUGGUGCCAAGGAAUGCAUCACGUACCCAUGAAAACAGGAAUAAAUAAUUAUUUUUUUGACUUGUUUCAAUCUUUUAAAAGUUAAUCUAAUCCUCUGCCUCUUCUUUUUUUGUGUUUUUUUUUCUUUUUUUCUUUUUUUCUGGUUAUUCGAAGGAAGGAAGGAAGCCCAAACUCGGAUGUUUAUUUGUUCUGUCCUGGCCGAUGUUCCCUUGGUCGUGCUCCAGUGGCCGAUAAACUGGCAGGGAAGCAGAGCGUGGAGCACGGCAGAGCCUGGGAAAGGCCGGGACCCCGCUUCCCCUGCCCUUACGUCAUGGUUUCUCUCUGAUUAGCUUGGCCUGGGGGCUGCCAGCUGCCUUCACUCCCUUGUCUCCUCCAUGCCGCCUGUGCUUGUCAACAUGUCCCUAUACCUGAGAUGUGGGUGGGAAGCAUGGGAAGGCAGCACAAGGCUGGACCAGCAGCAUGAUGGUGGGAUGCCUGGAGCUGGUAGGGGUGGAGAUCAAGAAGAAAGUGCUGGAACACCACAAGUGACAAGCUCUGCCUGGUUUAUGGGACCUUUAUGAGGGGAGCAGUGCAGGUAUCUGCAAGGAUAACAUCUCCCUGAAGUCCCAGCCUUUUCUUCUGAGUCCUGUGAAGUGGCUGGAACCUGUGCUUCAUCCUGGUUUGAUCCCUAAGGGAUCAAGGAAUGGGGGCCUUGUGAGCACCAUGUGUGGAGAGGGGCUAAAGACCCCUUCCCACUCCCUUUCUAACCAAGAUUUCCACCUGAAAAAAAAAUCUUCCUAGCAAAUUAAAACAAGGUGGCUGGGCCGUACUCUUCAAACAGGCUUUCACCUUCUCCUUUAGUCCCAACCAUGGUCCAGGCUAUACCCCUGGUGGGUCCUGCUCAACUGCAGUGAUGUCUGAGGCCAUUACAGACCUCUGAAGUUCUUCUGGGAAGAGCCCCCACCCAGGAACAUUGGGGUGGGAGAUAAAUUUGAAAGAGUUCAGGAAGCUCUUGCAGGAUGAAUGGAAGGUGCUUCAGGGAGAGGUGAGGUGGGAAAUCAUGGGACAGAAGGCAGCUGGGGAGGUACUCUGUGUUUGAAAUGGAGAAAUAGCUACCAAUGCUCUUUGCUUUGGAACAGAAGAGGAGCCCUGAAGUUAACCGAGUGCUUUGGGGAUCUUCUCCUUAGGAGAGGAUGGUGCAAAAUAUGAGUGUCCCCUCCUCCCCAUCUUCUGCUGCUGUCACUGUGCAGAAGAGAAGAAGGAAUUUAACCCAAACCCCUCUGUGGUCUCAAGCAGCCACCCAAAGUCCCACAUCCUUUUGCAGAUAUGGGCACCGGGGUCCUAAGAGGGAUACUCAGGGUUUCAGGUCACCCCCAGUCACCACCCUGACUCACUGCCUGCUGGCUCAGAGGAUAAUACAUAGCUUCAACACUGCUAAUUGGAGCUCUUUCCCGACACUUCCUCCUCUCAAUCUUCUUCUACCCUUAGUUCUGCAGAGUCAAUAAGUGAAUUCACAUUAAAGCAGAAGUCUCUGCCAGUUCCCCUGUAUCUGCAACAGCCAGGGGGACUGCAAGGAGGUGGAGUGAAUCCUCCAGUCCCCCAGGGAUGGGAGAUAAAUCCCCAUGGCUCUCCCCUGCCCAAACCUUCUCCUGCUCCCUCUCCCUUUGCACUCCUCUGUUUCUCCUCCCCAGUUCUCUCCCAGGCUGUGGUCCUCAGCAGACAGCUGCUAGUGAUUUUCCUCGGUCAGCAAGAGCCAGGGCUGGGUGAUGCCUGCAAGCUGUGCUCUAAGGCGAAGGGACCCUUAAAGAUUCUCUGGCCCAACCCCGUGACAUGCACAUCUGUCACCAGCCCCAUUCAACCCAACUUUGAGCACCUCCAAUGAUGGGGCAUCCACAACUUUUCUGGACAACAUUUUAAGGUUUCACCAUCCUCAGUGUAGAAAAAAAAUUCUUCCUUAUUCCAAUCUAAGUCUCUUCUGUUUCACUUUAAAGCUGUUGCUACUCAUUCUGUCAAUAUAGACUGGAUCAUUGUCCUACUUGCAGUCUGCUCUGAGAUAGUCUGUGCUGAAUAUACUUAGGAUCGUGAGAUCUUGGGGGAUAGCAGCCAGCUCUGGCCAUAUCUUGGACAUCUUCUACAUGUCCCAAAGCAUGGGAGCAGGAAGGGUCCUUCCCAGGUGGCUAGGUGGCUGCAGACCAAGAAUAAACCAUCAUACCUACCGGAAGGGGAAACUGAGUCAGGAGCCAUGAACUAACCUAAUUUCCUGAUUUCCAUGAAUUAGCCAUGCUUUUCCACGGGGAGAUGGGAGAGAUGGGUCUUUGCACUCCCAAAAUAGCCUCAUUUGGAGCAUGGGGCACUGCAUUUACCCUGCCUGUGCAUGUGUUUGGGCACUUGGCACCAGCCUCGCAUUUCUUUAUCCCAGUGAAUGGCCCUGCAGAAGUUUUAUUGUCAGAAGGGCAGAAACUGGGGCCAACCCUAACCUUGUGAGCCCCCAUGCUCAGCCCACGCUGGUAGGACAGUGCAGAGCAGUAGCAUCCCUGGGAGCAUCCCUGCUCUCAGCACCUCUGGGAAGCCCUGGAAGAACCAAAGGACAGCCUAGCUUUGUGCAAGGAGCUUCAUUCUCCUCCUGUCCUUCCCCAGGCCACUAUGGGGCUUUGUGCCCAAACCUUCCACAGCCUCCAGCAAAAAGAUUUUAAGACAUGGAACAGCAAUUAAGGUUUCACAGAGGUUUCAGCAUUGCAACACCACGAGUUUCAGCAAAUAAUUAGGACUGUGGCUUGUAGGCUGAUGAGCUGCUGAUUCAUGGGUCUGACUACCACCCUUUGCUGGCAGCAGCUCGGGUCAGUCUGGAGAUAGUAAGGGACAGCCUCUGUUUCCUGAUGUGAUGGAGAUGGGACCAAACAACCCAUCUGGCUCCAUCUGAGAACCUCAGCUUCCCCAGCGGUGUCUGCACUUUGGUGGCUUGCUUUCAGGCUUGGUGCAACCUCUGCUCCACUGUGUGCAAUGGGUGGACAUGCCCAGGGGCUCUGGGGGGACCUCAUGAGAGCAGGACCUCACUGCUCGGCCCCAGAGCGCUUAGGCAGGAGAGGCUGAGCCUCCAGAU
rnacentral:lncRNA from 1 species